UACGUAGGGUGCGAGCGUUAAUCGGAAUUACUGGGCGUAAAGCGUGCGCAGGCGGUUUUGUAAGCCAGGUGUGAAAUCCCCGGGCUCAACCUGGGAAUGGCAUUUGGGACUGCAAGGCUGGAGUGCGGCAGAGGAGACUGGAAUUCCUGGUGUAGCAGUGAAAUGCGUAGAUAUCAGGAGGAACACCGAUGGCGAAGGCAGGUCUCUGGGCUGACACUGACGCUCAUGCACGAAAGCGUGGGGAGCAA
rnacentral:rRNA from 1 species